rnacentral:lncRNA from 1 species
AGAGGCACGACAGAGAGCAAGGAAGGAAAGAAGAAGAGGCUUCACUCGAUUUAUCUUGGUUUUAUCUUCUCAAACCCAUGUUUUACUUUUGGUUUAAUUUGAGAAUUAUGUGUAACUAAAUUUGAAGUAGUUAGGGGCUGUUUUGAAGCCCCGAAUAUGAUUGCAAGUUUGUUAUGACAUUUCGUUGAAUUGCUUUUAUGAAUGGAUGAAAAUUGGUUUACUACUUAUGCCAGUGAUGAAUUCUUUAUAUGUUUUCUAUGGAUGCAUACUUAGUAAGCAUAUCUAGGAUUCAAAUGCUAUGAAUAUGUGUAUGCCUGCCCUUGUUGAAUGAGGACCUACAUAUGUUCUAGAGUAGUACUUGUUAAUUGCAAUUAACAUGUGAACCAAUUU